CAGUCGAACGGUGAAGCAGAGCUUGCUCUGUGGAUCAGUGGCGAACGGGUGAGUAACACGUGAGCAAUCUGCCCCUGACUCUGGGAUAAGCGCUGGAAACGGCGUCUAAUACCGGAUACGAGCUGCGACCGCAUGGUCAGUAGCUGGAAAGAAUUUCGGUCAGGGAUGAGCUCGCGGCCUAUCAGCUUGUUGGUGAGGUAAUGGCUCACCAAGGCGUCGACGGGUAGCCGGCCUGAGAGGGUGACCGGCCACACUGGGACUGAGACACGGCCCAGACUCCUACGGGAGGCAGCAGUGGGGAAUAUUGCACAAUGGGCGAAAGCCUGAUGCAGCAACGCCGCGUGAGGGAUGACGGCCUUCGGGUUGUAAACCUCUUUUAGCAGGGAAGAAGCGAAAGUGACGGUACCUGCAGAAAAAGCGCCGGCUAACUACGUGCCAGCAGCCGCGGUAAUACGUAGGGCGCAAGCGUUAUCCGGAAUUAUUGGGCGUAAAGAGCUCGUAGGCGGUCUGUCGCGUCUGCUGUGAAAACCCGAGGCUCAACCUCGGGCCUGCAGUGGGUACGGGCAGACUAGAGUGCGGUAGGGGAGAUUGGAAUUCCUGGUGUAGCGGUGGAAUGCGCAGAUAUCAGGAGGAACACCGAUGGCGAAGGCAGAUCUCUGGGCCGUAACUGACGCUGAGGAGCGAAAGGGUGGGGAGCAAACAGGCUUAGAUACCCUGGUAGUCCACCCCGUAAACGUUGGGAACUAGUUGUGGGGUCCAUUCCACGGAUUCCGUGACGCAGCUAACGCAUUAAGUUCCCCGCCUGGGGAGUACGGCCGCAAGGCUAAAACUCAAAGGAAUUGACGGGGACCCGCACAAGCGGCGGAGCAUGCGGAUUAAUUCGAUGCAACGCGAAGAACCUUACCAAGGCUUGACAUAUAGAGGAAACGUCUGGAAACAGUCGCCCCGCAAGGUCUCUAUACAGGUGGUGCAUGGUUGUCGUCAGCUCGUGUCGUGAGAUGUUGGGUUAAGUCCCGCAACGAGCGCAACCCUCGUUCUAUGUUGCCAGCACGUAAUGGUGGGAACUCAUGGGAUACUGCCGGGGUCAACUCGGAGGAAGGUGGGGAUGACGUCAAAUCAUCAUGCCCCUUAUGUCUUGGGCUUCACGCAUGCUACAAUGGCCGGUACAAAGGGCUGCAAUACCGUGAGGUGGAGCGAAUCCCAAAAAGCCGGUCCCAGUUCGGAUUGAGGUCUGCAACUCGACCUCAUGAAGUCGGAGUCGCUAGUAAUCGCAGAUCAGCAACGCUGCGGUGAAUACGUUCCCGGGUCUUGUACACACCGCCCGUCAAGUCAUGAAAGUCGGUAACACCUGAAGCCG
rnacentral:rRNA from 1 species